UUCCUUCUGAUUCUUCUGUAAGUCACUGAUAUAAAAACACCUCGUCUCCACUCAACCUCCCAGGAACAGCGACCAGUCAGACCAGUUGAAGACAGGACCUGAGGGCAAAGGUCAAAUCUGUCUGGAUGAUCAGGGUAUGAUUGAUCCUUGUCAGGAUUUAAAUGAUCCUGAUCAGGA